UGAAUUCUGUACUCUCAGGCAUAACCCCCCUGGACUGGAAUGGGGCUUUACAGGAUCAAGUCUUGCAGCCUUUACACCCUUAGACAGGUGGAAGACUUACAUGUGUGAUUUAGGAUUAAUUUCCCCGCUCCCCCUGAGUUCACACACGCACACGAGCGAGCGAAAUGUGCAUAAAUCUUUGCAUAAACUGGGGCUGAGCAAGGCUUUCAUGAGUCAGUUCCCUUUCACUUAGGAUCCAUUAUCCUAAAUAGUGCCCUUUUGCAGAUGAUGGGGAAAAUGUUUCAGGGAGCUGCAGAUGGAGGAAGAAAAGACACAGUCUGAUAGAGAUCCCUAAUACAACCAGCUUUCCAUUCAAUUGACACCUUUUUAGUUUCCUUUGCUCCAGAUGCCAUGUACCUUGUGCCAGGCUGCCAUCCAGCCUGCAAUUACCUGCCAUGUCUAGCCCAGCACUCUCCAGAAAGCAGGCCUCGUGUGAGCUCAGAAGAUGGCAGCGGUCACCAGAGAUGGAGGUGGGGCUGAGAAGAAGCAAUGUAGCAAAGGAGGCUGGCGUCUUGGACCAUGGCGUUACUGAAAUGAAAAGGCGUGAACACGGCAGGAAUUUCUGCUGUAUGGAAAAAUGUUAUUGUUGGAUUCCUUCAGGAAGGCGUGCAUAUGAAAAUCCUGGUUCCCUGGUGAGUGACUAGUGACUAAGACCUGCAGAACUCUCAUCUUAAUUUUUGAUUGUGGUGGAUGAUGUCAUAGUUGGAAAUAAAUUUACAUUUCAGCUAUGA